rfam:Sporolactobacillus inulinus CASD NODE_94, whole genome shotgun sequence.
GGAUUCCCGUCGAGUAAGGUUAGCCACCCACUCGUAGCGAGUUUUGGAGGAUAGGAGGUAACUCCUAUCUUUAAGCGUAAACAGUUAGAUGAUUCGAUAAGUGACAGGCACCGAAAUGACUAUUUCAUUAUGCCUCGCUCAAAAAGCA